GUUUUCAAUCUUUGCAGUGAGAGAGCUGGGAAUAACACAUCCUGGCUAUUGAAUCAAGUAAUGUUAUCAGUUGGUACAAAUGGUGACUGGAAAAAUUUUAAGUUUUAAUAUGGAAGGUAAUCUAGAUUUAUAUUCCUAUUCAUAAGUGAAGACAUUGGGGCAUGAAAUUUAUAGAUUGUAAACUGCUUUAAAGAGAGGGUUCUCAUCAACCUAUUGUUCCUGUAAAAUUUUGUAUUUUUUAAUUAUCCCCUUUAUAAUAUUGUAAAGCAGCAUGCACUACUAGAAGAAGGCAGGCCAGCAGAGGUAGUAUGCUCUGGGCAAUGUUUUGCUGGGAAACUGUGGGUCCUUACAUUCAAGUGGAUGUUACUUUGACACAUACUGUCCACCUAGAGAUUGUUUCAGACCAUGUACACCCCUUUAUGUUCCCUGGUGGCAGUUGCCUCUUUCAGCAGGAUAAUACACACUGAAAAGGUGUUCAAGAAUGGUUUGGGGAACAUGAGAGUUCAAAGUCUUGUUUUGGCCUCCAGAGCUCAAUCCAAUCUGUGGAAUGUGCUGAAACAACAUAUCAUGGCUAAACUGUAUCAUAGUCCAAUUUUGACAUAAAGGUGUAAUACAGAGUUUAGCCAUUACAUGUCGACAAAAGAUUAGUCCUCUAAAGUAAAGCUUGCUAAGUAAGAUCUAUGGCAGUGGUAGACAGAUGUUAUGGACUACACAACCCAAAAUGCUCUUAGAGCCAUAACGCUGGCAAAGGAGAUGUAGUUCACAACAUCUGGAAUGGUCUAUGGUGAUCUACCCUUCUGGUUAAGUUUGAAUAGAG